rnacentral:rRNA from 1 species
UUUCAGGGUCGUUGUAGACUACAACGUUGAUAGGACGCAGGUGUACAGGUGGUAACAUCACAGCCGAGCGUUACUAAUUGCCCGAUGACUUUCUUUUAUC